GCGGAGUGCUGCUGGUUCUCCAUGUGUGUACGUCAUAUUGAGGAGGCACAUCUCAAAAGAAAGAAGGAUAUAUUUUAAGUGGAGGAGGACCAUCUGAUGACCAGUGACAUCACUUCCGCCAGGAGACAAAC